AGAGUUUGAUCCUGGCUCAGAAUGAACGCUGGCGGCGUGCUUAACACAUGCAAGUCGAACGAGAAAGUUUCCUUCGGGAAACGAGUAGAGUGGCGCACGGGUGAGUAAUACGUAGAUAAUCUACCUUUGAAUUUGGGAUAGCAUCGCGAAAGUGGUGCUAAUACCGGAUAAUAUUUAUACGACCUCGGUUAUAUAAAUCAAAGAUGGCCUCUUCUUGAAAGCUAUUGUUUGGAGAUGAGUCUACGCACCAUUAGCUUGUUGGUGGGGUAAAGGCCUACCAAGGCGACGAUGGUUAGCUGGUCUGAGAGGAUGAUCAGCCACACUGGAACUGACACACGGUCCAGACUCCUACGGGAGGCAGCAGUGAGGAAUUUUGCGCAAUGGGGGAAACCCUGACGCAGCAACGCCGCGUGAGUGAUGAAGGCUCUUGGGUCGUAAAACUCUGUCAGUAGGGAAGAAAUUGUUUAUAAUUAAUACUUAUAGACAU
rnacentral:rRNA from 1 species